GGAUGAACGCUAGCUACAGGCUUAACACAUGCAAGUCGAGGGGCAGCAUGGUCUUAGCUUGCUAAGGCCGAUGGCGACCGGCGCACGGGUGAGUAACACGUAUCCAACCUGCCGUCUACUCUUGGACAGCCUUCUGAAAGGAAGAUUAAUACAAGAUGGCAUCAUGAGUCCGCAUGUUCACAUGAUUAAAGGUAUUCCGGUAGACGAUGGGGAUGCGUUCCAUUAGAUAGUAGGCGGGGUAACGGCCCACCUAGUCUUCGAUGGAUAGGGGUUCUGAGAGGAAGGUCCCCCACAUUGGAACUGAGACACGGUCCAAACUCCUACGGGAGGCAGCAGUGAGGAAUAUUGGUCAAUGGGCGAGAGCCUGAACCAGCCAAGUAGCGUGAAGGAUGACUGCCCUAUGGGUUGUAAACUUCUUUUAUAAAGGAAUAAAGUCGGGUAUGGAUACCCGUUUGCAUGUACUUUAUGAAUAAGGAUCGGCUAACUCCGUGCCAGCAGCCGCGGUAAUACGGAGGAUCCGAGCGUUAUCCGGAUUUAUUGGGUUUAAAGGGAGCGUAGAUGGAUGUUUAAGUCAGUUGUGAAAGUUUGCGGCUCAACCGUAAAAUUGCAGUUGAUACUGGAUAUCUUGAGUGCAGUUGAGGCAGGCGGAAUUCGUGGUGUAGCGGUGAAAUGCUUAGAUAUCACGAAGAACUCCGAUUGCGAAGGCAGCCUGCUAAGCUGCAACUGACAUUGAGGCUCGAAAGUGUGGGUAUCAAACAGGAUUAGAUACCCUGGUAGUCCACACGGUAAACGAUGAAUACUCGCUGUUUGCGAUAUACUGCAAGCGGCCAAGCGAAAGCGUUAAGUAUUCCACCUGGGGAGUACGCCGGCAACGGUGAAACUCAAAGGAAUUGACGGGGGCCCGCACAAGCGGAGGAACAUGUGGUUUAAUUCGAUGAUACGCGAGGAACCUUACCCGGGCUUAAAUUGCAGAUGAAUUACGGUGAAAGCCGUAAGCCGCAAGGCAUCUGUGAAGGUGCUACAUGGUUGUCGUCAGCCCGUGCCGUGAGGUGUCGGCUUAAGUGCCAUAACGAGCGCAACCCUUGUUGUCAGUUACUAACAGGUUCCGCUGAGGACUCUGACAAGACUGCCAUCGUAAGAUGUGAGGAAGGUGGGGAUGACGUCAAAUCAGCACGGCCCUUACGUCCGGGGCUACACACGUGUUACAAUGGGGGGUACAGAGGGCCGCUACCACGCGAGUGGAUGCCAAUCCCCAAAACCUCUCUCAGUUCGGACUGGAGUCUGCAACCCGACUCCACGAAGCUGGAUUCGCUAGUAAUCGCGCAUCAGCCACGGCGCGGUGAAUACGUUCCCGGGCCUUGUACACACCGCCCGUCAAGCCAUGGGAGCCGGGGGUACCUGAAGUGCGUAACCGCGAGGAGCGCCCUAGGGUAAAACUG
rnacentral:rRNA from 1 species